GCUUUGGCAAAACAUAUACUAAAACUGGAAUAACACAAAGAAGAUUAGCAUGGCUCCUGCGCAAGGAUGAGUCUGUUAAAAAAAAUCCUUAACCUUUUGAU
rnacentral:snRNA from 1 species